rnacentral:rRNA from 1 species
CGGGUGAGUAACGCGUGAGGAACCUGCCUCAAGGAGGGGGACAACAGUUGGAAACGGCUGCUAAUACCGCAUAAGCCCACGGCUCGGCAUCGAGCAGAGGGAAAAGGAGCAAUCCGCUUUGAGAUGGCCUCGCGUCCGAUUAGCUAGUUGGUGAGGUAAUGGCCCACCAAGGCAACGAUCGGUAGCCGGACUGAGAGGUUGAACGGCCACAUUGGGACUGAGACACGGCCCAG